GUCUAUGGCCAGACCACCCUCCACACGUCCAACAUCAUCUGAUCUCAGAGGUGAAGCAGGGCCAGGCCUAGUGAGUGCUUGGAUAGACUGAGAUUAACAAGUAUGGCCGCUCUGGGCU
rnacentral:rRNA from 14 species